CGCGUAGGUGGCUUGUCAGGUCCGGUGUGAAAUCCUGGGGCUCAACUCCAGGCGUGCAUCGGAAACCGGCUUGCUAGAGUCUGGGAGAGGAGAGUGGAAUUCCUGGUGUAGCGGUGAAAUGCGUAGAUAUCAGGAGGAACACCGGUAGCGAAGGCGGCUCUCUGGAACAGUACUGACACUGAGGCGCGAAAGCUAGGGGAGCAAACA
rnacentral:rRNA from 1 species